UUUGUGGCACAUGAUUUGUAGCAAAUUGUUACAGAAAUAUAUUCCUUUAUUCGUGUUAACAUAUAGAACUCUAGCUAUAAAUAUGGUUGUAAUGGUGUAUAACACAAUUCAUACCUGGCUUCCACACAGAAAGAGUGUUUACAAAGUGUAAUCAUGAUCAUCAAAUCUGCAAAACCUGUUGCACUUUCCAUCCUGGUGAUCCUCUUAGUAGGUAUCGUAGUUGAUGGUGUCCAAGGAAAUGCUGAUACCGAAUUUACUCUUCGAGGGAUCAAAAUAAAUAAUCCUACAACGUUUGGUGAUAGCAUCCCCAACUCUGGUGACAAGGAAGAACACAAACAGUUAACCACUGCCCUUGGAGCUACUACGACGUACACAGACCACCAUAUACUAUCUCGUGAAGAGUACUGCAAGAUCUUCAAAUGCCCUUAGUAAAACUGGGUAUAUGUAUGGGUGUCCUGGAGUAACUGCAGCUUUCAGGCCUAAUGUUAAGGCCAAGUAAUAGAAUAAAGCUCCAGGACUUAAUUGGAAAUAUGAAAAUAUGUACACUGAACCCUUGCACGUCAAGGGAAGACUAGUUAUAAAAUGGAGAUAUGUUAACUCUCAUGUUAUGUGCUA